GUCCCGGGAGCUCGGCCUUGUGCGCGGCGCUCUGAGGUGAGCGUCUCUGAGGAAUUUGUGAGGAGGGUCCCGCCGCAGGUCGGAAGGACGGACGUGGGGAGCCAGGCUCGAGCGAGGGACAGCGAGUGCGAAGGUCGGGUGGCAGGGAAUUGCUCUCGCGCUGCAGGAUUUGCCCGGACGCCGGGGCCGGGAGGCCGCCCUGAGGUUCUCACGGCUCUCAGAAGAAGGUGACAAGAAUCUCUGACCUCACCCUGCUGGCCUGUUCCCCUCACUUGGCCACACAACCAAGCUGGUACCUCCAAGCUUUCAUCAUGUCCUCUCAAGUACACUGUCCCCACCCCAGCUACACCCCCGCACUCCUCUCUGGGAAUUCUGCUUUCUCCUCUACCCAACCAGACCCUGUUCCAUCCUCUGUUUUUUCCUUGCUACCAAUUCAGGCCCACGCCUCAUGCACAUUCUCUGAGAAUUAUGUACAUAAAUACCUGACUCUCCUGGAUGUAAGCUGGGUGGGCUUAGCAGGCAGAGGCCCUGUGUCUUACUUUAUCUCUGCAUCACUGAUGUCUGGCACAUCAAGGACUGCAAGUUUGCUGAGAGAAUGAAUCGCCUGUUACACAUGGAAAUGUAAACUCCAAACUGCCUCAGAGCAUAUGCUGGUGGGUGACAAUCUGAGGAGAUCAUGAAUAUAGGAGAAUAUUGAAGAGGUCACACAGGGGAAACAACUUUUCAUUAUGAAAAACUGGGAGACUUUGACAUUUAAAUGGUUUAUCUGCAUGAUUAAAUUAAUCACAUUUCCAACAGCGCAUCAAGCAUCUGAGAAUAACAUUAUUUUGAGUAAAAACAGAAACUCUUCAGGAGAGACCCUCUCCCCACAGGUCAGGCUGCUCAAAUGUCCACCAUAUCUAGCAGUGCAGAGAGAUGGAGCUCAGAGGCAACUUCCUCUUCCCUUGAACUCCGGAUCAGCCUUUCCAGGUGCUUUAGUCGUUCGCCUAGACACGUUCCUGUCGCCUCUGACAGCUGCAGUUGCUCCCUCAUCAUGUCACUCUAUUUGAAUAAAAAAGAAACUGAACAGUUUUGGGAUGUCAAUAAACCACGACCUAUUCUCUGUGAAGGCACUAGAUCUGGAUCAUGUUAGAAACCUCAUCUGAGUAGUCAUUUAUUUUUACAGAGGGAAAAAAAAUUAUCCUUUGUACAUCCUUCCAGCCUCAUUUAGCUCGUACAUUCAGUUGGUAUCUGUAUAUAGACUAUUUGCCUUUGUAUUCUAUCAUGAACAAUUUCCAGUGUCAGUCAUUUUUCACCCAGGCUGGAACGCGGUGGUAUGAUCGGAGCUUACUGCAGCCUCAAACUCCUGGCCUCAAGUGAUUCUCCCAGCUCAGCCUCCUGAGUAGCUGGGACAACAGGCAUGUAGCACCAUGCCUGGCUAAUUAUGUACUGUAGAGAUGAGAUCUCUUUAUGUUGCCCAGGCUGGACUCAAACUCCUAGACUUAAGCGAUCCUCCCUCCUCAGCCUCCCAAAGUGCUGAGAUUACAGGCAUGAGCCACCACACCCAGCCAGUCAUUUUUACAAAAUAUCAUCGUCAAGGGCUGUGAAUUAUUCUAUCACAUGAAUGUGUUGUAAUUGUUUAAUCAGACUCCCAUCUUCAGAUAUUCUGUUUCGAAUUUUAUACAAUAUAACUAAUGCUACAGUAAACAAUUUUAUACAUUAAUUUUUGGGGAAUAUCUGGUAGGUCAGAAUUCUUUAGGUUAGAAUUGGUAAUUCAAAGGGUAUGAAUAUUUUUAAAGUAUUUGCCAAACUGAUGAAUGGAAACAGUACAUCAUUUUAAUUUGCUUUUCUCCCCUAUUGAAAGACUUCCUAAAGCCAGUCCAGGAGCCCAGUUUUUACCUGUUCAGUGGCACAUAUCUGUGAUUGAAACUCUGUUUUUGUAUGUUUAACCACUGAAGGAAGAAUGGUAAGGUAAAAAGACCUUAGGCUUUGGAGCCAGUUGGAUCUGGCUUUGAAAAGCAACCCUGACCACUCACUACUUGAACACUCUUGGGUGAGGCUCUUGACUUCUGGGAGCUUACCUUCCUCAUUCAUUAGUUUUCCUCAGGAAAAAUUAAUCCCAGAAGAGAGGUCUGGGUAAUGCCAAAGCUCAGACAAUAUGUGCUCCAACAGAAGCUGCUGUCAUCACCUUAAUGCCCUUAAUUACACAUCAGCACACAGUUACAGGUCUUACUCAGUUCUUAAGAAUAUUUCAAUUUUAUUCUUCAUUUAUUUCAUAGGCAGAAACUCAAAAUCAAUUGGGUCUCUUUAACAGUGAUAUGGAUAAAGUUUAAGAAAAGGUCUAAUUUGAGCUAAUAAUUUGUCGGUCAUCAUAACAUCAUAGGAUAAAUUGUGAUAUUACUUUUUUUCCCAGCCAUUCUAUCAAUCUUUAAUUCUUAUGUAAAUGCCAAAUGUAUACUUUCUUCUCACCUGUGGGCUAGUAGUUACAGAUGUUUUCAUCACAGGUUCAAUAGUGUGAGAAAGAGACACUAGAGUCUGAGGAAGAUAGAGAGGAAGGGAAGUUAAAUCCGUAAAUGCUCCUGAGUCUUCAGACAACCAUUGCUGAAGCUGAUCUUCAAACCUGAAACAAUAUAUAAUAAAUUCAAAAAUAUUUGAGCAUUAGGAAGUUAACUAUCGUUCAUUAAUCUUCUAUAUAUACUUAAAAACUUUUUAAGCCUUUGCUUUUUAAAAAUUUUAUAUAAUUUAAUUUAAUUUUUUUUUUUUUUUGAGACAGAGUCUCACUCUGUUGCCCAGGCUGGAGUGCAGUGGCAUAAUCUCGGGUCAGUGCAACCUCUGCCUCCCAGGUUCAAGUUAUUCUCCUGCGUCAGCCUCCUGAGUAGCUGGGAUUACAGGCACGUGCCACCGUGCCCAGCUAAUUUUUUGUACUUUUAGUAGAGAUGGGAUUUCACCAUAUUGCCCAAGCUGGUCUUGAACUCCUGACCUCAGGUGAUCCACCUACCUCGGCCUCCCAAAGUGCUGGGAUUACAGAAGUGAGCCACUGUGCCCGGCCAAUUUUAUUAUUUUUUUUUUUUUGACAAGGUCUCGCUCUGUUGGCCAGGCUGGAGUGCAGUGUUACAAUCUUGGCUCACUGCAUCCUUGACCUCUCAAGCUCAAAUGAUCUCACCUCAGCCUCCCAAGUAGCUAGGACUACAGGCGCAUGCCACCCAGCUAAUUUUUGUAUUUUUUUUGUAGAAACGGGGUUUUGCUGUAUUGUCAGGCUAGUCUACAACUCCUGAACUCAAGUGAUCUGCCCACCUCAGCCUCCCAAAGUGCUGGGAUUAUAGGCAUGAGUCACCACACCCAGCCUUAAGCCUUUGCUUUUUACUAAGAAUACAACUAAGUUAUGACAUCAACUGAGAAGCAGAAAUGUACUUAUUAAAAAUUUAACAACUUCCUAUGAUACAGCUUAAUUAAAAAAAAAAAACUAGGCUGGGCUUGGUGGCUCACGCCUGUAAUCCCAACACUUUGGAAGGCCGAGGCGGGCAGAUCACCUGAGGUCAGGAGUUCAAGAUCAGCCUGAUCAACAUGGUGAAACCCCGUCCCUACUAAAAAUACAAAAAUUAGCCAGGCAUGGUGACACGUGCCUGUAAUCCCAGCUACUUGGGAGGCUGAGGCAGGAGAACUGCCUGAACCCAGGAGGCGGAGGUUGCAGUGAGCCGAGAUCACGCCAUUGCACUCCAGCCAGGGCAACAAGAGCAAAAGUCCGUCUCAAAAAAAAAAAAAAAAAAAUUAGAAAAACCACUUCCCUUUAAUUUAUAAAUCCAAUUCCAAUUUAUAUUUAAUGAAAAAGGUGGCAUUAAUCCAAAAACAACUGCUUCUAUGUGUUACUUAACAUUACUUGUAAUUGUCUUGUUUGGCUUAUCUUAUUUAAUUUACUUUGGUUUUAUGCAUCUAUAAUUAAUUCUUCUGACAUUUUCCAAAUGAGUGGAUUGCUGCUUAUAGCUUAAAAUUAACUCAAAAUAAUUUCCCACUGCCACCUAACAUACUCUAGAGCUGUCUACUUCCAUAUACCAGUCUUUUCAAGAAAAACAAUCUUGGCCAGGUGCAGUGGCUCAUGCCUGUAAUCCCAGCACUUUGGGAGGCCGAGGCAGGUGGAUCACCUGAGGUCAGGAGUUCAAGACCAGCCUGGCCAACACGGUGAAACCCCGUCUCUACUAAAAAUACAAAAAUUAGCCAGGCAUGGUGACGGGUACCUGUAGUCCCAGCUACUUGGGAGGCUGGGGCAGGAGAAUUGCUUGAACCUGGGAGGUGGAGGUUGCAGUGAGUCGAGAUCGUGCCACUGCACUCUAGCCUGGACAACAGAGCGAGACUAUAUCUAAUAAAAAGGGAAAAAAAUCUCAUCCCAAACCACUUAAAUUAUAGAGACUGAUUUUAGAAAUCAGACACAUUCAUUCACCCUUCCAACACAUAUUCAUCAAGCCUCUUCCAGAUGCUAGGCAUGCAUCAUUCAAGGUACAAGGAAUAUGGCACUGAAACAAAACAGAGGCCCUGCCCUAAGCAAUUUAUACUUUAGUGAGAAGAGACAGACAAGGAACACAUAACAAGAGAAACAUAGUUUGAAGAUGAGAAAGACAAAGCAGAGCCAUGGAAACAAGAAGGUCGGGGAUGGGCAAGGAGGGCCUAACAGAAGCAGACAUUUGAGCGGAGAUCUGAAGUGAGUACAAGAUCAGCCAUGGGGAUGCUGGGGAGAAUGGAGGGGCUGGACAGUCCUAGGCAAAAGGAACAGCAAACUCAAAGGCCCAACUGUGAGCUGCCUACCAUGUUCAAGGAAGGAGCGGAGGUCAGAGAGGAAAUGGGGAGCAGAUCACUCAGGGCCUUGGCCACCCCUGCAAAGUUUGCCUUUGAUUGCAGGUGAAAGAGGGAAACCACUGAGAGGCUGUAAGCAAGCAAGUGACACGAUCUCCAUCUUAACUCACUUGAAAGGCACCCACCAGGUCUACCAAGACUAAACUGCAGCCUACUGUAAUAAUCCAGAAGGAAGAUAAUACUGGCUUGAGCCAGCUGGUGGCCAUGGAAGUCAUAACAAGUGGUCCAGUUCUGAAUGUAUUUUCAAUAGAGCCAAUACGAUAUGUGAAUGGGCUGAUGUGAGGGGAUGAUUCCAAGGCACCUGAUCUAGGCAGCUGGAAGGAUGGAGCCGCCAUCAACAGAGAUGACCACCAAAGGAAGGAGUUGGUUGGAAGAAAGCCGGGAACUGGAUUUGCGAUAUGUUAACUUUGCAGUGGCUACCAGACAUCCAAUAGAUGUCUAAUGAAGAUUUCAAGGAAGCAGUAGGAUGUUCAAAUGUGGAGUUCAGAGGUUUGAAAUACAAAUUUGGAGCUGUCAAAAUAGUGAUGUUACUUAAAAAUCCAUGGAACUGGAUGAAAUCUCUGAGGAGUAGGUACAGAGGAUGCAGAGGAGAGGUUGAAAGAAUGAGUCCAGGGGGCAGCUGGGGGAUGAGGAGGAACCAGCAGGGCAGGAGGGGGACCACGGACAUCCUAGGAGCAAGGAGGGGAGGAUCAAGUAUGGGAUGCUACCAAGGACUGGGGUUCACGGUCAUGUUCAACCCUGGGCCAGCUGGUAGGAGACUGGGAAAGAAGGCUGAAGAAGUGAGUAUCACAAGCGUUUUUGAGGAGUUCUACCAUUAAGAGGGCAGAAACAUGAAGUGGUGGCUAAAGAGGGAAAUGGGGCCAAGACAGGGAGGCAUGUUUCAUGUCUGUGUGCUGCUGAUGGGCACCAUCUAAUAUGGGGAGGGGUGGUACUCAUUGAAUGAAUGUCCCUGGGUAGGUGGGAGAUGAGAUCCCAGCCCAGGGAAGGGCUGACUUUGACUACGAGCUGCGUGGUUCCUUUCCAGCAACACGAGGGGUCAGGAAGGGGAUAUAGGGAGGGUGCUGGAUGUGGCUGGGAGGGCAGGGAAGGCAGAGGACAACCUGUGGAAGGUCCCUUAUUCCUGAUUCUGCUUCUCAGUAAAAUGGUAAACAUGGCCAUCAAAUGAAAGCAAAGGAAAGUAUGCAUGGGAGGGAGGGAAGUGGGCAAUGUAGAGGAGGGGCAGCCCCAGCUCCUGCCCAUUCACAGCAUGGGAUGAUCCACCAAGGCCUCAGGCUCCCAAGGGCAGGGUGCCUGUGGCCAGCCAUACUGUUCAGCACUCAACAUCUUCUGAGUAGACUUAACCAUAUGAAUUUCCCACAAAAACUUAACACUGACUUUCAAUAAUAAAUAAUAAAUGAAAUUCACUUCAAUAUAAACAGAAACAUACUAUCUAGGGCACUGCUUCUGUCUUCAAAAAGCUUUUAAAUAGUUACAUCACUAAAACUUGCUAAUAAUCCACCUGCCCUUCUCCAUCCUGGCUGUCUUAUAUUAAUCAAGCAAUAACCAGUCUCCCCUCAUAGCAUAAAGCAGACUAAACAACACACAUGAAUUAGAAGGGCUUCACCUGUUGUUCUCCUCUUUCUCCAGCAGCAGACUGCUGGACAAACACUGCGCCAAGAGCUCCUCAGCAGAUGCUCCUCGCAUCAGAUCCUCUGUGCUGGGAAUCCUCCCCUCUCGACCAUACUCUGUGCUCCUCUUCCAGUUACGGUGCAUGUGAAGCAA